rnacentral:snRNA from 1 species
AUACUUGCCUGGUGCCGGGGCAUCGUUGAUCACCGAGGUCGAGCCCCCGGGGCGAGACGCGGUCAUUGCACUACGCUCGCGUUGACCCCUGCCGGUACCCAAACUGGGCAGAUGGGGCAUGAAAAUUGCUGAAAUCCGAUUCAAC